UACGUAGGGUGCAAGCGUUGUCCGGAAUUAUUGGGCGGAAAGAGCUCGUAGGCGGUUUGUUGCGUCGGCUGUGAAAUCCCGAGGCUCAACCUCGGGUCUGCAGUCGAUACGAGCAAACUAGAGUGUUGCAGGGGAGACUGGAAUUCCUGGUGUAGCGGUGAAAUGCGCAGAUAUCAGGAGGAACACCGGUAGCGAAGGCGGGUCUCUGGGCAACAACUGACGCUGAGGAGCGAAAGCGUGGGGAGCGAACAGG
rnacentral:rRNA from 1 species